rnacentral:rRNA from 1 species
CCUACGGGAGGCAGCAGUGAGGAAUAUUGGUCAAUGGACGAGAGUCUGAACCAGCCAAGUAGCGUGAAGGAUGACUGCCCUCUGGGUUGUAAACUUCUUUUAUAUGGGAAUAAAAUGUUCCACGUGUGGGAUUUUGUAUGUACCAUAUGAAUAAGGAUCGGCUAACUCCGUGCCAGCAGCCGCGGUAAUACGGAGGAGCAGAGCGUUAUCCGGAUUUAUUGGGUUUAAAGGGAGCGUAGGUGGAUUGUUAAGUUAGUUGUGAAAGUUUGGGGCUCAACCGUAAAAUUGCAGUUGAAACUGGCAGUCUUGAGUACAGUAGAGGUGGGCGGAAUUCGUGGUGUAGCGGUGAAAUGCUUAGAUAUCACGAAGAACUCCGAUUGCGAAGGCAGCUCACUGGACUGCAACUGACACUGAGGCUCGAAAGUGUGGGGAUCAAACAGGAUUAGAUACCCUAGUAGUC